rnacentral:rRNA from 1 species
UAGGGAAUCUUCGGCAAUGGACGAAAGUCUGACCGAGCAACGCCGCGUGAGUGAAGAAGGUUUUCGGAUCGUAAAACUCUGUUGUUAGAGAAGAACAAGGACGUUAGUAACUGAACGUCCCCUGACGGUAUCUAACCAGAAAGCCACGGCUAACUACGUGCCAGCAGCCGCGGUAAUACGUAGGUGGCAAGCGUUGUCCGGAUUUAUUGGGCGUAAAGCGAGCGCAGGCGGUUUCUUAAGUCUGAUGUGAAAGCCCCCGGCUCAACCGGCGAGGGUCAUUGGAAACUGGGAGACUUGAGUGCAGAAGAGGAGAGUGGAAUUCCAUGGGGAGCGGUGAAAUGCGUAGAUAUAUGGAGGAACACCAGUGGCGAAGGCGGCUCUCUGGACUGUAACUGACGCUGAGGCUCGAAAGCGUGGGGAGCAAACAGG